GAUGAAGAACGCAGCAAAAUGCGAUAAGUAAUGUGAAUUGCAGAAUUCAGUGAAUCAUCGAAUCUUUGAACGCACAUUGCGCCCCUUGGUAUCCCGAGGGGCAUGCCUGUUCGAGCGUCAUUUCACCACUCAAGCCUGGCUUGGUGUUGGGCGACGUCCUCUUUGGGGACGCGCCUCGAAACGCUCGGCGGCGUGGCACCGGCUUUAAGCGUAGCAGAAUCUUUCGCUUUGGAAGUCGGGGCCCCGUCUGCCGGAAGACCUGCUCGCAAGGUUGACCUCGGAUCAGGCAGGGAUACCCGCUGAACUUAAGCAUAUCAAUAAGCGGAGGA
rnacentral:misc_RNA from 1 species